rnacentral:rRNA from 1 species
UGGACAGAAAGACCCUAUGAAGCUUUACUGUAACUUGAAAUUGAAAUUGGACUUUAUUCGCGCAGUAUAGGUGGGAAGCUUUGAUGAUAUUCUUGUGGGAAUAUUGGAGCUAUCAGUGAGAUACCACUCUUGUAAUGUUAGAUUUCUAACUUUGUACCAUUAGCUGGUCAAAGAACAGUUUCAGGCGGGCAGUUUGACUGGGGCGGUCGCCUCCUAAAUGGUAACGGAGGCGUACAAAGGUUUCCUCAGAUCGGUCAGAAAUCGAUCGUAGAGUGUAAAGGCAGAAGGAAGCUUGGCUGUGAGACCUACAAGUCGAGCAGGGACGAAAGUCGGUCUUAGUGAUCUGACGGUACUGAGUGGAAAGGCCGUCACUCAACGGAUAAAAGUUACUCUAGGGAUAACAGGCU